UUGACUAAGCGUGCACCCAUGCCGCCCCUCCCCUCCUCCUCUCUCUCUUUUCUCUGCAACGCCAACGCCCCCGGUUCGUCCCAUCAGCCUUCGCCUCUCCCCGUCUGCUGCUCCGGUUAGACAGGCGGCUCGGGGCUGCCCGUUUCUGAUGCAGUAUUGCUGCCAUUAAGUCGAGUCUUCGCGGAUUCCCGGUCACCGCCUCGCCUUCUGUCAGUCUCGGCCGAGAAGAAGACACAAGUAUUAACCUCCUAGCUUUCCAGACGCUCACGACUGCUCUCGAACAUUCACUCUAGUCCAAGAAUUGUUUUAAACUGAAUUGCGCACUUGCUCCCCCCGGAUAAUACGCCACAGCUUUACAUGGAGGAGGCGCAGGUGAAGACAAAGAAACCUGGGACUCGCCUCUGUUGCAUCUGUAAUCAGAAAAGGGCUGCCCUCAAAAGACCUAAAACCCUUGAACAGAUAUGCAGGGAGUGUUUUUAUGAGGUCUUUGAGGAAGAGAUCCACCAGGUGAUUGUGGAAAACCAACUGUUCAAGCCUGGUGAGCGAAUUGCAAUUGGGGCCUCCGGUGGUAAAGGUGAAUCAUUAGAUAAUUUGUUAGUGUUUAUAGCUGUCAAUAGUCUCAAUUGUGAACACAUGUAAAAUGACGUUAUAUUUGGAUUGUGAAUGCUAUUACACUGUUCUUGGAACAAACGAAUUCUACCAGAGAAAAAAGAAUUCAAUUGCAAAUCCAUAUUUUAUUAUUUGAAUUAUUCCAAAUGUGGAAUUUAUUUUGAAAUGAGUCCCAUAUGAAAUAUGUUUUAUUUUUAAUCCUAUCAACAUUUAUACAAUUUCAAAUUGUAAAUAAACUUGAGAGUUUAGAAGAAAAUGUUUCUUAAAAUGUCUUUUGCUACACUUGUUUGUGUUUCCUCCAGUGUAAUGAUUGAAUUUUUUUCAGAUGAAGUGUAGUCAUUGAGUUGAAUUCCGUAAAGUAUUUUGAAAUUUCAUGAUUUAUUUCGAACAAAAAACCAUUUAUAAACAAAUAUUCUGUUUAAUUCAUUUAUGAAAGAAAAUGAAAU